rnacentral:rRNA from 1 species
UACAGAGGCCCCAAGCGUUAGGCGGAAUCACUGGGCUUAAAGCGUGUGUAGGCGGGAUGGUAAGUACUUUGUGAAAUCCCACGGCUUAACUGUGGAACUGCUUAGUAUACUGCCGUUCUUGAGUCAUUUAGGGGCAGCCGGAACAGAUGGUGGAGCGGUGAAAUGCGUAGAGAUCGGAAAGAACACCAACGGCGAAAGCACUCUGCUGGGCCGACACUGACACUGAGAGACGAAAGCUAGGGGAGCGAAUGGG